GGAGAGGUGACUGAGCUGGCCGAAAGUACCGGUCUUGAAAACCGGCGAUUGGAAACGAUCCGUGGGUUCGAAUCCCACCCUCUCCGCCA
rnacentral:tRNA from 1 species